AAAGUAGGCGCAGGCGGUUGCGGAUGAGUGAAAGCUUGUCUGAGGAAAGUCCGGGCUCCCGAAAAACCAAACUUGCUGGGUAACGCACAGUGCGAGCGAUCGUGAGGAUAGUGCCACAGAAAGAUACCGCCAAUUAGUCAUUAGUCAGCAGUCAUUGGUCAUUAGUAAGUAACUGAGGAUUUUUGACUGGGAAGCAACAACUAAUUUGGUAAGGGUGCAAAGGUGCGGUAAGAGCGCACCAGCAGCAUCGAGAGGUGCU
rnacentral:RNase_P_RNA from 1 species